rnacentral:rRNA from 1 species
GACGAACGCUGGCGGCGUGCUUAACACAUGCAAGUCGAACGCUGAAGACCUGGCUUUUGUUGGGUUGGAUGAGUGGCGAACGGGUGAGUAACACGUGAGUAACCUGCCCUCUUCUUUGGGAUAACGCCCGGAAACGGGUGCUAAUACUGGAUAUUCACUGAUCUUCGCAUGGGGGUUGGUGGAAAGGUUUGUUCUGGUGGGGGAUGGGCUCGCGGCCUAUCAGCUUGUUGGUGGGGUGAUGGCCUACCAAGGCUGUGACGGGUAGCCGGCCUGAGAGGGUGACCGGUCACAUUGGGACUGAGAUACGGCCCAGACUCCUACGGGAGGCAGCAGUGGGGAAUAUUGCACAAUGGGCGAAAGCCUGAUGCAGCGACGCCGCGUGAGGGAUGGAGGCCUUCGGGUUGUAAACCUCUUUCGCUCAUGGUCAAGCCGCAACUGUGGGUUGUGGUGAGGGUAGUGGGUAAAGAAGCGCCGGCUAACUACGUG